rnacentral:rRNA from 1 species
UACGUAGGGAGCAAGCGUUGUCCGGAAUCAUUGGGCGUAAAGCGCGCGUAGGUGGCUUCGUAAGUCCGUUGUGAAAGUCAAAGGCUCAACCUUUGGAUGCCGGUGGAUACUGCAGGGCUAGAGUCCGGAAGAGGCGAGUGGAAUUCCUGGUGUAGCGGUGAAAUGCGCAGAUAUCAGGAGGAACACCGAUGGCGAAGGCAGCUCGCUGGGACGGUACUGACGCUGAGGCGCGAAAGCGUGGGGAGCAAACAGG